rnacentral:rRNA from 1 species
CAGAGGGGGCAAGCGUUGUUCGGAAUUACUGGGCGUAAAGGGCGCGUAGGCGGCCUUCUAAGUCGAACGUGAAAUCCCCGGGCUCAACCCGGGAACUGCGUCCGAUACUGGAAGGCUUGAAUCCGGGAGAGGGAUGCGGAAUUCCAGGUGUAGCGGUGAAAUGCGUAGAUAUCUGGAGGAACACCGGUGGCGAAGGCGGCGUCCUGGACCGGCAUUGACGCUGAGGCGCGAAAGCCAGGGAGCAAACGGGAUUAGAUACCCCGGUAGUCCUGGCCCUAAACGAUGAAUGCUUGGUGUGGCGGGUAUCGAUCCCUGCCGUGCCGAAGCUAACGCAUUAAGCAUUCCGCCUGGGGAGUACGGUCGCAAGGCUG